GAAGCUGACCAGACAGUCGCCGCUUCGUCGUCGUCCCCCUUCGGGGGGAGACGGGCGGAGGGGAGGAAAGUCCGGGCUCCAUAGGGCAAGGUGCCAGGUAACGCCUGGGGGGUGUCACAGCCCACGACCAGUGCAACAGAGAGCAAACCGCCGAUGGCCCGCGCAAGCGGGAUCAGGUAAGGGUGAAAGGGUGCGGUAAGAGCGCACCGCGCGGCUGGUAACAGUCCGUGGCACGGUAAACUCCACCCGGAGCAAGGCCAAAUAGGGGUUCAUAAGGUACGGCCCGUACUGAACCCGGGUAGGCUGCUUGAGCCAGUGAGCGAUUGCUGGCCUAGAUGAAUGACUGUCCACGACAGAACCCGGCUUAUCGGUCAGUUUCACUC
rnacentral:RNase_P_RNA from 3 species